UGGCCGCGGUAAUUUGACCGUGCAAAGGUAGCAUAAUUAUUAGUCUUUUAAUUGAAGGCUUGAAUGAAUGAUUGGAUGAAAAAUUUACUUUAUUAAUUUAAAUUAUUUAAUUUAUCAUCUAAGUAAAAACUCUUAGAUAAAUGAAUGGGACGAGAAGACCCUAUAGAGUUUUAUUUUUUUGUUUAUUAUAAAAUUCUAGAAUUAAUAUUUUUAUAAUAAUCAAUAAUUUUUGAUUGGGGUGAUCUUAAAAAUUAUUAAACUUUUAAUUAAUAUUUCAUUAAUUUAUGUUCAAUUGAUCCAAAAAUUUUUGAUUAUAUGAUUAAAUUACCUUAGGGAUAACAGCGUUAUUAAUUUGAAGAGUUCAAAUCGAUAAAUUAGUUUGCGACCUCGAUGUUGGAUUAAGAAAAAAUUUUGAAGUAGUAUUUAAAAUAAUGGGUCUGUUCGACCUUUAAAUUCUUACGUGAUCUGAGGUUCACACCGGA
rnacentral:rRNA from 1 species